GGAGGAUUGGCCGAGUGGUUUAAGGCAGCAGUCUUGAAAACUGCCGUAGGGGUUUCUCCUACCGAAGGUUCGAAUCCUUUGUCCUCCGCCA
rnacentral:tRNA from 1 species